rnacentral:rRNA from 1 species
AUUGAACGCUGGCGGCAUGCUUUACACAUGCAAGUCGAACGGCAGCGCGGGCUUCGGCCUGGCGGCGAGUGGCGAACGGGUGAGUAAUGCAUCGGAACGUGCCCAGUAGUGGGGGAUAGCCCGGCGAAAGCCGGAUUAAUACCGCAUACGACCUGAGGGUGAAAGCGGGGGACCGAAAGGCCUCGCGCCAUUGGAGGGGCCGAUGUCGGCUUAGCUAGUUGGUGGGGUAAAGGCUUACCAAGGCGACGAUCCGUAGCUGGUCUGAGAGGACGACCAGCCACACUGGGACUGAGACACGGCCCAGACUCCUACGGGAGGCGGCAGUGGGGAAUUUUGGACACUGGGGCAACCCUGAUCCAGCCAUGCCGCGUGCGGGAAGAAGGCCUUCGGGUUGUAAACCGCUUUUGUUCGGGAAGAAAUCCUCUGGGCUAAUACCCCGGGGGGAUGACGGUACCGGAAGAAUAAGCACCGGCUAACUACGUA